rnacentral:rRNA from 1 species
ACUGCUCAGUAACACGUAGUCAACAUGCCCAGGGGACGUGGAUAACCUCGGGAAACUGAGGAUAAACCGCGAUAGGCCAAGGUUUCUGGAAUGGACACUGGCUGAAACCUAUAUGGCCCCUGGAUUGGACUGCGGCCGAUCAGGCUGUUGGUGAGGUAAUGGCCCACCAAACCUGUAACCGGUACGGGCUUUGAGAGAAGGAGCCCGGAGAUGGGCACUGAGACAAGGGCCCAGGCCCUAUGGGGCGCAGCAGGCGCGAAAAUUCUGCAAUAGGCGAAAGCUUGACAGAGUUACUCUGAGUGAUGCCCGCUAAGGGCAUCUUUUGGCACCUCUAAAAAUGGUGCAGAAUAAGGGGUGGGCAAGUCUGGUGUCAGCCGCCGCGGUAAUACCAGCACCCCGAGUGGUCGGGACGAUUAUUGGGCCUAAAGCAUCCGUAGCUUGUUCUGCAAGUCUUCCGUUAAAUCCACCUGCUCAACAGAUGGGCUGCGGGAGAUACUACAGGGCUAGGAGGCGGGAGAGGCAAGCGGUACUCAGUGGGUAGGGGUAAAAUCCUCUGAUCCACUGAAGACCACCAGUGGCGAAGGCGGCUUGCCAGAACGCGCUCGACGGUGAGGGAUGAAAGCUGGGGGAGCAAACCGGAUUAGAUACCCGGGUAGUCCCAGCUGUAAACGAUGCAGACUCGGUGAUGGGUUGGCUUUGCGCCAACCCAGUGCCGCAGGGAAGCCGUUAAGUCUGCCGCCUGGGGAGUACGGUCGCAAGACUGAAACUUAAAGGAAUUGGCGGGGGAGCA